AUUGAACGCUGGCGGCAUGCUUUACACAUGCAAGUCGAACGGCAGCACGGGCUUCGGCCUGGUGGCGAGUGGCGAACGGGUGAGUAAUGCAUCGGAACGUGCCCAUGUCGUGGGGGAUAACGUAUCGAAAGGUACGCUAAUACCGCAUACGCCCUGAGGGGGAAAGCGGGGGAUUCUUCGGAACCUUGCGCGAUUGGAGCGGCCGAUGUCGGAUUAGCUAGUUGGUGGGGUAAAGGCUCACCAAGGCGACGAUCCGUAGCGGGUCUGAGAGGAUGAUCCGCCACACUGGGACUGAGACACGGCCCAGACUCCUACGGGAGGCAGCAGUGGGGAAUUUUGGACAAUGGGCGCAAGCCUGAUCCAGCCAUGCCGCGUGAGUGAAGAAGGCCUUCGGGUUGUAAAGCUCUUUCGGCCGGGAAGAAAUCGCACUCUCUAACAUAGGGUGUGGAUGACGGUACCGGACUAAGAAGCACCGACUAACUACGUGCCAGCCGCCGCAGUAAGAC
rnacentral:rRNA from 1 species